rnacentral:rRNA from 1 species
UGGGGAAUAUUGCACAAUGGGCGGAAGCCUGAUGCAGCGACGCCGCGUGGGGGAUGAAGGCCUUCGGGUUGUAAACUCCUUUCGACAGGGACGAAGCUUUUGUGACGGUACCUGUAUAAGAAGCACCGGCUAACUACGUGCCAGCAGCCGCGGUAAUACGUAGGGUGCGAGCGUUGUCCGGAAUUACUGGGCGUAAAGAGCUCGUAGGUGGUUUGUCGCGUUGUCUGUGAAAUUCCGGGGCUUAACUCCGGGCGUGCAGGCGAUACGGGCUGACUUGAGUGCUGUAGGGGAGACUGGAAUUCCUGGUGUAGCGGUGAAAUGCGCAGAUAUCAGGAGGAACACCGAUGGCGAAGGCAGGUCUCUGGGCAGUAACUGACGCUGAGGAGCGAAAGCAUGGGUAGCGAACAGG